AGCCUGANCCCAGCUUCGCCGCGNUGGUGGAUGAAGCCCUUCGGGGUGUAAACACCUGUCAGGGGGGAAGAUAAUGACGGUACCCCCGGAGGAAGGGACGGCUAACUACGUGCCAGCAGCCGCGGUAAUACGUAGGUCCCGAACGUUGCGCGA
rnacentral:rRNA from 1 species